GUGUUUUAAUAUCGCAUAACACAACAGACCUACAUAAAAAUGUUGACGCUAGUAUUUACUUCUGCUGUAUUAGUUAGUGUAAACUGCAUUGUAUUACCGGCACCAUGUCAACGGCCAUUUUCAAUAGUAGUGCCAUCUAUUGGCCCACCUUGUGCCAAACAGAUGCCAUUAGUAGCGAUGCCAUACGAUCUUCCAAUGCCAUGUAACCCACCAAUUAAAUACAUAGAAUCAGUUAACUAUGGUAUGAUACCCGGAAGGUGUGGCCCCAUAGCUGAAAUGCCAGUACCGGAAAUGAUGAUGUAUAUGGGAAACCCAUUUUUGCCAGCAGCGUCUCCGGUUUCGGCUUUAGCGCCGCCAUUUUAUCCUUACACUCCGCCAUUGUGUCCAUGCGAUUGUAAAUGCCAGUA